AGUGAACGCUGGCGGUAGGCCUAACACAUGCAAGUCGAACGGCAGCACAGUAAGAGCUUGCUCCUACGGGUGGCGAGUGGCGGACGGGUGAGGAAUACAUCGGAAUCUACUUUUUCGUGGGGGAUAACGUAGGGAAACUUACGCUAAUACCGCAUACGACCUACGGGUGAAAGCAGGGGAUCUUCGGACCUUGCGCGAUUGAAUGAGCCGAUGUCGGAUUAGCUAGUUGGCGGGGUAAAGGCCCACCAAGGCGACGAUCCGUAGCUGGUCUGAGAGGAUGAUCAGCCACACUGGAACUGAGACACGGUCCAGACUCCUACGGGAGGCAGCAGUGGGGAAUAUUGGACAAUGGGCGCAAGCCUGAUCCAGCCAUACCGCGUGGGUGAAGAAGGCCUUCGGGUUGUAAAGCCCUUUUGUUGGGAAAGAAAAGCAGCAGGUUAACACCCCGCUGUUCUGACGGUACCCAAAGAAUAAGCACCGGCUAACUUCGUG
rnacentral:rRNA from 1 species